rnacentral:lncRNA from 1 species
UAUCUUUCUAAUCCGGUGAUAAUUGAUUAUUGUGCUGUUUUUUUCGAUUUCGUUGAAUGGAAACUAAUCCUUUCGUUUUUCUGUUGCAGAUGAAUCGGUAUAAACUAUCGAUCGUGCUCCUGCUCUUGAGCACGGUGGCCAUUGCUUUGGCCAAUGAGGCCAACGAAGAAGCCUUGAAGGACGCAGAUUCAGACUCUACUCACACGGGUGCCGAGCCUCAGAAGCGCUCCCUUAAGAAGUUCAAAAAGCUCAAAAAGCUGGCACUCCUUAAAAAAAAGGGGCCUUGGUUCCUUCCAGAGUUCGAGGUCGAAGAGGUCAAAGAAACUUCACCUCUCCCCGUGUUUAAAGUACACAAAUACGCCGGGAUCGAAGUCAAGCCUAUCCCCACCACCCCGCCACCACCACCCCCACCGCCGGCAGUCUACGGACCACCAUCGCCACCGCCAACCGUCUACGGACCACCCGAAGCCGCUGCAGCAGCCGUAGCUACCUCUGAAGGCAAAGGAAACCCCGACCUGGCAAUCCUCGACUCCCUGGGCCCCCUCGUCUCCGGCGAAGGCGGUGUGGAUCUAUCCGCUCUUUUGAGCAUCGCUGGUAGCGGUGAAAUCCCGUUGGAAGCCAUUGAAACCCUCUCCCAGAUCGCCAAGACCAACCCCAAACUCGUGGCCAGCAUCGUAAACGGACUGAAGAACCCCAAGAAGGCCAAGAAAGCUGGCAUCAUCGCUGCUUUGCUGAAACUCAAGGCCAAGAAGAAGCUCCUGAAGAAGAAGCCACUGAAACUCUUGGCCAAGGGAGUCGCCGCCAAGGCCGCCAUCACCAAGAAGAAGCUCUUCACCCCCUUCGCUUUGGUGGCCGCUGAGGGCGCCAAGGUCGCAUCCGCAGUCUCCUCCAUCCCCUCCAACAUCGCCGGCUACAUCUGGCCUGAAGAAGAAACCGGACCCUACGAAGCCGAGCUCCCCUCCCCGCAAGAAGUUUCACCCCUCUUCUCCCUUGAAGCUCUAUCACCCCUCCCCGGUCUCCCGCUCCUGAAAUUCCCCGGCAAAUACAAGCUCAAGAAGCACCACCCUUAUGUCAGCGUUAAGCUCCCAACCACCCAUCAACCCGCACCUCCCCCACCACCACCCACACCAGCGCCCGUCUACGGACCUCCACCGCCAGUAGAGCCCGUCCACGUCUAUGGUCCCCCUCCACCACCACCACCACCACCACCACCACCACCUCCACCACCAGCACCCCCCGUAGAUGUUUACGGCCCACCCCAAGCCCCAGCAGCCACCUACGGCGUGCCCUCUGCCCUUGCCCCCGGUACCCACCUCGAACCCCCUCCACUACCCUUGGAUACCCCCAGACAAGUAGCAGCCGCCGCUGCAGUUGACUCCUACCAAGUUCCAAUUGCUGUCUACGCCCAAGGCCAGCGCUUCAUCACCCCGGCCGGCACGACGCUGACCGCACCUGCUUACUACAACGUCGACUCAUUCUUGGCAGCCUCGGAGAACGACGAGGUGGAGGCAGAAGGUGACGAAGGCCACGAGGAGGUUGAGGAGAUCGAGCACGUGGUGGCACGAGGAAACCACAGCGAGCACGCCGAACACGGAAAGCAGACGGCUCAUGCUCUGCCAUCCCACAAUGUCCACCAUGUCCAGGCUGAGCGUGAACACGCUCACCACGCUGAACACGCUCAGCGUGCUGAACACGGGCAUGAGGCUGCCGAGCAUGAACACGUGCAAAGACCAGUGACCAAUCAGAUGAGGAGGUCGCCACCUCCGGCCGAGCAGAAGCACGAACAGCAGCCAGAGCAGUUUGUGCGAGGAGAAGUUUUCGUCGUUCCUCUUAACCAUGCUACCGAAGACACACAUCAACAGGAGCAUGCCAGUGAAGAAUCAAAUUCUGGAUCUCAUUAAUUUUGAGAUUCUCCAGCAAUGAUGCCAUAUCAUUAAUUUAAUCCAGCACCGAUGGAGGGUUUUACAAAUAUGUCUAUGUGCAUAGUUCCUUUCUGUAUACCCCCACCCUCACUCUACCGUUCCAUGAGACAUGUGCCAUUACACCAAAGAGCGCUAAUGACACGAGGCAUGUCUGCAAAUUUCUGAACAACGAGAGUCGUGCAAUCCAACGCCACGAUGACUUCGGAAUGUUGUUCGUCUGAUUCAUGGUUUAUGCGUUUGCGUCGAGUAAGUUAUGAAUGAGUUGCAGCAAGUGAUAGGUCUCACCAACCAGGAUCGGAUGCAACGCUGCCAAAGUGUCUCGAAAUUGGCUGACGUUCACUCAACGUACCGUUAAAAAUCAAAACAAAAUUGGCCGCAUUCAGAAAGGAAACAAAAAGCGCCCUGGAGGGAGGGACUAAGUGUUUCCGAGAACCUCGGGGUCCUCCUCGCAAAUUGAUGAUGAAACUAAUAAACCACAUACUUAUAUUUCAGUUUUUAAAAAUGUCUGCUCUGGGUUUAUAUUUUAGGAAAAGAAAGAAUUUGUUUAGAUGCGAAAUAAUUGCAUGAUAUUAUUUAUAGAGCAAUGGGAAAGGUGG